rnacentral:rRNA from 1 species
CAGUAGCCGCGGGAAUACGUAGGUCCCGAGCGUUGUCCAGAUUUAUUGGGCGUAAAGCGAGCGCAGGCGGUUAGAUAAGUCUGAAGUUAAAGGCUGUGGCUUAACCAUAGUACGCCUUGGAAACUGUUUAACUUGAGUGCAAGAGGGGAGAGUGGAAUUCCAUGUGUAGCGGUGAAAUGCGUAGAUAUAUGGAGGAACACCGGUGGCGAAAGCGGCUCUCUGGCUUGUAACUGACGCUGAGGCUCGAAAGCGUGGGGAGCAAACAGGAUUAGAUACCCGGGUAGUCCCUGUCUCUUAUACA